AUUGAACGCUGGCGGAAUGCUUUACACAUGCAAGUCGAACGGUAGAGGGGGCAACCCCUCGAGAGUGGCGAACGGGUGAGUAAUAUAUCGGAACGUGCCCAGUCGUGGGGGAUAACGUAGCGAAAGUUACGCUAAUACCGCAUACUAUCUAAGGAUGAAAACGGGGGAUCGCAAGACCUCGCGCGAAUGGAGCGGCCGAUAUCAGAUUAGGUAGGUGGUGGGGUAAAGGCUCACCAAGCCAACGAUCUGUAGCUGGUCUGAGAGGACGACCAGCCACACUGGAACUGAGACACGGUCCAGACUCCUACGGGAGGCAGCAGUGGGGAAUUUUGGACAAUGGACGCAAGUCUGAUCCAGCCAUUCCGCGUGCAGGAUGAAGGCCCUCGGGUUGUAAACUGCUUUUGUACGGAACGAAAAGGUCUCUCUUAAUACGGGGGGCUAAUGACGGUACCGUAAGAAUAAGCACCGGCUAACUACGUGCCAGCAGCCGCCGUAA
rnacentral:rRNA from 1 species